rnacentral:tRNA from 1 species
GCUCCGGGUCGUCGAAGGUGCGCGACGCGGCCUGCGGGACCGCGCCGGGUGAGGGCGCGCCCGGUGGCGUCGGGCCCGCGGCG